GACGAACGCUGGCGGCGUGCCUAAUACAUGCAAGUAGAACGCUGAAGAGAGGAGCUUGCUCUUCUUGGAUGAGUUGCGAACGGGUGAGUAACGCGUAGGUAACCUGCCUGGUAGCGGGGGAUAACUAUUGUAAAAAAACAGCUAAUACCGCAUAAAAUGGAUUAUCGCAUGAUAAUCCAUUGAAAGGUGCAAAUGCAUCACUACCAGAUGGACCUGCGUUGUAUUAGCUAGUUGGUGGGGUAACGGCUCACCAAGGCGACGAUACAUAGCCGCCCUGAGGGGGUGAUCGGCCACACUGGGACUGAGACACGGCCCAGACUCCUACGGGAGGCAGCAGUAGGGAAUCUUCGGCAAUGGACGGAAGUCUGACCGAGCAACGCCGCGUGAGUGAAGAAGGUUUUCGGAUCGUAAAGCUCUGUUGUAAGAGAAGAACGAGUGUGAGAGCGGAAAGUUCACACUGUGACGGUAUCUUACCAGAAAGGGACGGCUAACUACGUGCCAGCAGCCGCGGUAAUACGUAGGUCCCGAGCGUUGUCCGGAUUUAUUGGGCGUAAAGCGAGCGCAGGCGGUUAGAUAAGUCUGAAGUUAAAGGCUGUGGCUUAACCAUAGUACGCUUUGGAAACUGUUUAACUUGAGUGCAAGAGGGGAGAGUGGAAUUCCAUGUGUAGCGGUGAAAUGCGUAGAUAUAUGGAGGAACACCGGUGGCGAAAGCGGCUCUCUGGCUUGUAACUGACGCUGAGGCUCGAAAGCGUGGGGAGCAAACAGG
rnacentral:rRNA from 1 species